rnacentral:rRNA from 1 species
AGCCCAGAGCCUGAAUCAGUGUGUGUGUUAGUGGAAGCGUCUGGAAAGGCGCGCGAUACAGGGUGACAGCCCCGUACACAAAAAUGCACAUGCUGUGAGCUCGAUGAGUAGGGCGGGACACGUGGUAUCCUGUCUGAAUAUGGGGGGACCAUCCUCCAAGGCUAAAUACUCCUGACUGACCGAUAGUGAACCAGUACCGUGAGGGAAAGGCGAAAAGAACCCCGGCGAGGGGAGUGAAAAAGAACCUGAAACCGUGUACGUACAAGCAGUGGGAGCACGCUUAGGCGUGUGACUGCGUACCUUUUGUAUAAUGGGUCAGCGACUUAUAUUCUGUAGCAAGGUUAACCGAAUAGGGGAGCCGAAGGGAAACCGAGUCUUAACUGGGCGUUAAGUUGCAGGGUAUAGACCCGAAACCCGGUGAUCUAGCCAUGGGCAGGUUGAAGGUUGGGUAACACUAACUGGAGGACCGAACCGACUAAUGUUGAAAAAUUAGCGGAUGACUUGUGGCUGGGGGUGAAAGGCCAAUCAAACCGGGAGAUAGCUGGUUCUCCCCGAAAGCUAUUUAGGUAGCGCCUCGUGAAUUCAUCUCCGGGGGUAGAGCACUGUUUCGGCAAGGGGGUCAUCCCGACUUACCAACCCGAUGCAAACUGCGAAUACCGGAGAAUGUUAUCACGGGAGACACACGGCGGGUGCUAACGUCCGUCGUGAAGAGGGAAACAACCCAGACCGCCAGCUAAGGUCCCAAAGUCAUGGUUAAGUGGGAAACGAUGUGGGAAGGCCCAGACAGCCAGGAUGUUGGCUUAGAAGCAGCCAUCAUUUAAAGAAAGCGUAAUAGCUCACUGGUCGAGUCGGCCUGCGCGGAAGAUGUAACGGGGCUAAACCAUGCACCGAAGCUGCGGCAGCGACGCUUAUGCGUUGUUGGGUAGGGGAGCGUUCUGUAAGCCUGUGAAGGUGUGCUGUGAGGCAUGCUGGAGGUAUCAGAAGUGCGAAUGCUGACAUAAGUAACGAUAAAGCGGGUGAAAAGCCCGCUCGCCGGAAGACCAAGGGUUCCUGUCCAACGUUAAUCGGGGCAGGGUGAGUCGACCCCUAAGGCGAGGCCGAAAGGCGUAGUCGAUGGGAAACAGGUUAAUAUUCCUGUACUUGGUGUUACUGCGAAGGGGGGACGGAGAAGGCUAUGUUGGCCGGGCGACGGUUGUCCCGGUUUAAGCGUGUAGGCUGGUUUUCCAGGCAAAUCCGGAAAAUCAAGGCUGAGGCGUGAUGACGAGGCACUACGGUGCUGAAGCAACAAAUGCCCUGCUUCCAGGAAAAGCCUCUAAGCAUCAGGUAACAUCAAAUCGUACCCCAAACCGACACAGGUGGUCAGGUAGAGAAUACCAAGGCGCUUGAGAGAACUCGGGUGAAGGAACUAGGCAAAAUGGUGCCGUAACUUCGGGAGAAGGCACGCUGAUAUGUAGGUGAAGUCCCUCGCGGAUGGAGCUGAAAUCAGUCGAAGAUACCAGCUGGCUGCAACUGUUUAUUAAAAACACAGCACUGUGCAAACACGAAAGUGGACGUAUACGGUGUGACGCCUGCCCGGUGCCGGAAGGUUAAUUGAUGGGGUCAGCGCAAGCGAAGCUCUUGAUCGAAGCCCCGGUAAACGGCGGCCGUAACUAUAACGGUCCUAAGGUAGCGAAAUUCCUUGUCGGGUAAGUUCCGACCUGCACGAAUGGCGUAAUGAUGGCCAGGCUGUCUCCACCCGAGACUCAGUGAAAUUGAACUCGCUGUGAAGAUGCAGUGUACCCGCGGCAAGACGGAAAGACCCCGUGAACCUUUACUAUAGCUUGACACUGAACAUUGAGCCUUGAUGUGUAGGAUAGGUGGGAGGCUUAGAAGUGUGGACGCCAGUCUGCAUGGAGCCGACCUUGAAAUACCACCCUUUAAUGUUUGAUGUUCUAACG